GACCCUGUGAUGGGCUUAUUUUACCAGGAUGUCUUCCUGACAUAUGAUCUAUCACUCUGUGCAUUGAUUUCAUAUGAAUUUGAUUCUAGUUUUUGAUUCAAAUCAAUUCUCCUUGCUGAUUCUGUGAUUUUUUUUCAUAUUUCUUUUGNUUGCAAUAUCUCUGGUAGUUAUUUGCAUAUAUGAUAGUUUGAUUUGGUGCUGUUUUAAAUAUGUUCAGUUCAUUUAGUUGUUGAUUUCNGUUUUAAUUGAUAGUAAUAGCAUGAUUGUUUCUUAUUACUUGUUGAGUAGAUUGUACAGUGUAUGUUUCUAUUUUAGGUAUUUUAGAUUUCUAUUUUCUUUUAUUUUUCCUUUUUAAUUCAUAUUUUUNUUCUUCUCUCAAACAGAUUUCAAUUGAGUUGUACUUCUUUUAUUUUUCAUUCCAUUUGUUAUACAUGUCCCCACCUGUUUAGUAGUUUAAUAGUAAAUAAAAUACAAGACCCU
rnacentral:lncRNA from 1 species